ACUUGGUGCGAGAGGGACAUCAACACGAAUCAUACAUAUCAUGACAUCAGUUCCAUCAUAAUGGAAACCUGCUGAUAUGAUGGGGUGUUAAAUCUAAUAAGAAACAUAUAACGUUAUGUUAGAUAAAGGUAAAUAUUAUCAGGUGUAUAGUAAUGUAACAUUUGACAUCACAAUUUUACAGAAGGUUCCCGAAGAAAGACACAGACACGACCACUAUAGUUAGAGCCUAAGGCCCAUAUGUUUAAAAUCACGAUCGUAGAAGCUUUAAGGAUGCGAUGUAGACGAUCCCUGACUGGCUUGUUCUACCUGCUGACAUGUACAGCAGGUGAGGUCUGACCGUCGUGAGGCAUGACGUAACGUCUGACUAGCCCGUUCCCCAUCCUGACAUGUACUACAGGUGAAGUCAUACAGGUGAAGUCAUACAGGUCGUGAGACAUUGCGUAACCUCUGACUGGCCUGUUCCUGUGCUACAGGUGAAGUCAUACAGGUCGUGAGACAUUGCGUAACCUCUGACUGGCCUGUUCCUGUGCUACAGGUGAAGUCAUACAGGUCGUGAGACAUUGCGUAACCUCUGACUGGCCUGUUCCCCUUGCUGACAUGUACUACAGGUGAAGUCAUACAGACCGUGAGACAUGACGUAACCUCUGACUAGCCCGUUCCCCUUGCUGACAUGCACUACAGGUGAAGUCAUACAGGUCGUGAGGCAUGGCGUACAACGGCAGGUACAUCCGGGGCCUGGGCUGGGCCCUUGUUGUGCUGGGUUCCCUCAGCAUGAUCCUGGGCAGCGCGGCGGACGCCAUCUCUCCACCA